UUUCACACUUGAAACUGUCAAAAAACAAUUAUCUGAUUAUUUCGAAAGUUGCAAAAAAAACCCAAAACAAGCUGAUGCAUCUACAAUCUAUAAGUCUUUUUUACCAGAUUUGGGAUUUUCCCUUACGAAAGUAUAAAACGAAGAAAUUCUAUAGAAAAUUAUAUAAUUAAUGAAGAACAUUUGAAGACUGGUACUUUUGUCAUAAAGAAACCAAAAUUACAAAAUGUUGAUUGCAAUCGUAAUCAACGUUGCUUUGAAAAGAAUAUUAUUUUUAACAUAUUUAAAAAUUGUAAUACAAAAGAGUAUAUCAAUCAUGUAAAUCCAAGUUCAGUUAAAACUACAGUCAACGCAGAACAAACAUUGUCGACAAAACAGGGAAAUAGCAUAGAAAAAAAAACAGAUUUUAUAGAAGAUUAUAAUUGCUCUCUUUUUGAGUGGUCUGAUUGGAGUUAUCAUACAAAUGAAGUGAAAUAUAAUGAAGUAGAAAAGCACACUUCUCUAUCCAAAUUGAAUAAAAAAAAUAAAAGUAUUGAGAAAUA
rnacentral:lncRNA from 1 species